CGGAAAGGCGAGCUGAGCAUUAUGGGUUAGGUGAGGAACCUCGCCCUCUUCUAUUACGGUACGCGCGGGUCUCACUUUGUCACCCAAGCUGAAGUACAGUGGCAUCAUCUCGGCUUACUCAACCUCCUGGGAUCAAGUGAUCCUCCCACCUCAGCCCCCAAA